UGCUGCCACACUGUGAAAUUAAUUUAAUUGCUUCAAGACUCACACUACGCAAUGCAACCAGUAUUAGUUUAAUUGAUGACAAAUUAACAUAAUCGACGAAAUUCUUAAUAAUCAAUUAUCGAUCGUCGAUUAAUCAUGCCCAUCCCUAGUGUAUAGUCAUGCAUUUUCUACCCCUCUGUCUUAAAGGAGAAUUCCGGCAAAUUUUUACGUUAAUUGAGGGGGAAUAAACUUUCCUUGCGAAGGCAUGACCUGUCCUGUAGAGGACAUAGCCAGAUCACUGGGCGCUCACUGGAUUGUUUUUGGGAGUGGGAGGCGACGAAGGCGGGGAGAAAUCAGAAGCAAGGAUGCUGGCUGGUCGGGCCUGCUAGCGCGGCUAAAACUACCACACAAAUAGACACUGCCAAGCCUCCUACUCACCAACACCAGAUCAAUCACACACAAAAUGGAUGAGCUACAAAUAGACACGGAACUGCUCCGUGAUAUUUUGGCUGAACACACUUAUCACGGACGGCAGCUAGCAGCUAACAGCUAACAGGGCGAGCUAUCUACCAGCAGAAUCGAAACAGGGGGCGUGGCUCAGCAAUCACUACCUGGCACACCUAACUCCCAUCAACCAUCAAGCUCAGUAUAUGAAACCCAGCUCUCCACUCACUCAUCGCCAGCUUGUUCUGCUUUCUACGUGUACCUGCCUGAGUUAAGCCUGCCCCAGCUGUUACUCUGCCAUAGCGUGCCACAAUACUCACCAGCCAGCACCACUUCCCCACCACCAGAUGCCAUCUGCUUCCACCAGGAUAGCCACCUCACCUGUUCACCAUUUCACACUCCACUUGCAAGGACGAAGUUUGGCUUAGG